rnacentral:rRNA from 1 species
AUUGAACGCUGGCGGCAGGCCUAACACAUGCAAGUCGAGCGAGCGGGGGACGGGUGAGUAAUGUCUGGGAAACUGCCUGAGGGAGGGGGAUAACUACUGGAAACGGUAGCUAAUACCGCAUACCAUCAGAUGUGCCCAGAUGGGAGUAGAGAGUAGGUGGGGUAAUGGCUCACCUAGGCGAGGCACUCUAGCUGGUCUGAGAGGAUGACCAGCCACACUGGAACUGAGACACGGUCCAGACUCCUACGGGAGGCAGCAGUGGGGAAUAUUGCACAAUGGGCGCAAGCCUGAUGCAGCCAUGCCGCGUGUGUGAAGAAGGCCUUCGGGUUGUAAAGCACGUUCAGCGAGGAGGCGUUACUCGCAGAAGAAGCACCGGCUAACUCCGUGCCAGCAGCCGCGGUAAUUC